GAUUUCUGGCACGAUGUACCUGUCCCGCUGCGGUCAACGCAUGUGAGUGACGGAGUAUGUUUGCCAUCCUUCUAGAGAGCGCAAGCUAUCCUUUACUGGACCGGUUUGUGUCAUCUAGAUCUUUUACUUUGAAAAAAUUAGAGUGUUUAAAGCAGGCUUGCGCUAUGAAUACAUUAGCAUGGAAUAAUAAUUUAGGACUUUGGUCUUAUUUUGUUGGUUUCUAGGACUAAAGUAAUGAUUGAUAGGGACAGUUGGGGGUGCUAGUAUUCAGCGGCCAGAGGUGAAAUUCUUGGAUUCGCUGAAGACUAACUUAUGCGAAAGCAUU
rnacentral:rRNA from 1 species